CGCACUCUCGCCCGCAGGGUGGAGAGAGACGGUAGGUCUUAAUUUUUUAUUGUGUGGUCUCCUUCCUCCUUUAUCCAGAUAGGGUUUGGGGUGGUGGUCGAGUCCAGCGAGCAGCCUCAUCUCACUCGACUUCCACAAUCUCACCCCUGGUGAUUAUGCAAGAUUAGGUGAUGUUGUCUACCCACAUUUAUAGAAGUGGAUCGCAGAUGCGAUGUAGCAGAGAGAGGGGCCUUGAGAGGUGAGCUGCUGCUGCUACUCCUCUGUGUGAAUUUUGAGUUUGCUAACCACAUGUACCAUGUGGUUGCUGCUACUCCUCUGUUAUUACACAUCUAGGGGAAAUAGCCAGGGAGAGAGAAGACUAUGGGGGAGAAAAGAAAGGAGAGGAGUUAGCCAAGAUUCAGGACAAAAUUCGUCAUCUUUGAGCUGAAGCUUUUGCCUCAAAAGGUCCGUCCCAACAAUCUAGAGCCGCACGCUCAAGGUUCAGGAAUUUGGAAAGCACCAACACACCCUCGCUAGAGCUGCUCUGGUCCUUUGCAGGUUCCUUUGGCAAAGUGUUGCUGGUUGUCAACAUGAUUAGAUAUACUUUCUGCCACAAAGGUUCAGUUUCUAACGAAGCAGUCCAGCAAGUAAAGUUGUAUUUAUCUUGAUGUAGUCAAAUAAGAUUUUGUGAGUUACUACUCCAGAUAUGCUACAUGUAAUAGACAUGCAUGUACGCAUGUAUUUAACCAUCUAGAAAAGAGGCUGUAUUCCUGUUGAAAGCUAUAUUAAAUCCUAAUUUUUGACUCUUCGGA